rnacentral:rRNA from 1 species
UACGUAGGGGGCAAGCGUUGUCCGGAUUUAUUGGGCUUAAAGGGUGCGUAGGCGGUCUUUUAAGUCAGUGCUGAAAUACUCCAGCUUAACUGGAGGGGUGGCAUUGAUACUGGGAGACUUGAGUGUAGUCGAGGUAGGCGGAAUUGACGGUGUAGCGGUGAAAUGCUUAGAUAUCGUCAAGAACACCGAUAGUGAAGACAGCUUACUAGGCUACAACUGACGCUGAGGCACGAAAGUGUGGGGAGCAAACAGG